UUGGAGGGCAAGUCUGGUGCCAGCAGCCGCGGUAAUUCCAGCUCCAAUAGCGUAUAUUAAAGUUGUUGCAGUUAAAAAGCUCGUAGUUGAAUUUCGGGGUUAGUAGGUUGGUCAUGCCUCAGGUAUGUACUGAUCUCACUGAUUCCUCCUUCCUGACGAACCGUAAUGCCAUUAAUUUGGUGUUGCGGGGAGACUGGACUGUUACUUUGAAAAAAUUAGAGUGUUUAAAGCAGGCUAACGCUUGAAUACAUUAGCAUGGAAUAAUGAAAUAGGACGUUCGAUCCUAUUUUGUUGGUUUCUAGGAUUGACGUAAUGAUUAAUAGGGAUAGUUGGGGGCAUUAGUAUUCAAUUGUCAGAGGUGAAAUUCUUGGAUUUAUUGAAGACUAACUACUGCGAAAGCAUUUGCCAAGGAUGCUUUCAUUAAUCAAGAACGAAAGUUAGGGGAUCGAAGACGAUCAGAUACCGUCGUAGUCUUAACCAUAAACUAUGCCGACUAGGGAUCGGAUGAUGUUAAUUUUUUAAUGACUCAUUCGGCGCCUUACGGGAAAC
rnacentral:rRNA from 1 species